rnacentral:rRNA from 1 species
AAUUCGAAGCAACGCGAAGAACCUUACCAGGUCUUGACAUCCCCUGACAACCCGAGAGAUCGGGCGUUCCCCCUUCGGGGGACAGGGUGACAGGUGGUGCAUGGUUGUCGUCAGCUCGUGUCGUGAGAUGUUGGGUUAAGUCCCGCAACAAGCCGCAACCCUCGACCUUAGUUGCCAGCAUUUCAGUUGGGCACUCUAAGGUGACUGCCGGCUAAAAGUCGGAGGAAGGUGGGGAUGACGUCAAAUCAUCAUGCCCCUUAUGACCUGGGCUACACACGUGCUACAAUGGGCGGUACAAAGGGUCGCGAACCCGCGAGGGGGAGCCAAUCCCAAAAAGCCGACUCUCAGUUCGGAUUGCAGGCUGCAACUCGCCUGCAUGAAGCCGGAAUCGCUAGUAAUCGCGGAUCAGCAUGCCGCGGUGAAUACGUUCCCGGGCCUU